UUGCAUGAUGCUUUACGUAUUAUAUACGCUGGAAAUUACCGACUGAGACCUUACGGUCCUCGACGAUAUCAAAUGGCUAUUUCUGAUC
rnacentral:snoRNA from 1 species